AUUCAGUGAAUCAUCGAGUCUUUGAACGCACAUUGCGCCCCUUGGUAUUCCGGGGGGCAUGCCUGUCCGAGCGUCAUU
rnacentral:rRNA from 1 species